UACGGAGGAUCCGAGCGUUAUCCGGAUUUAUUGGGUUUAAAGGGUGCGUAGGUGGAUUGGUAAGUCAGUGGUGAAAGUUUGCAGCUUAGCUGUAAAAUUGCCGUUGAAACUGCCGGUCUUGAGUGCAAAUGAGGUAGGCGGAAUGCGUCGUGUAGCGGUGAAAUGCUUAGAUAUGACGCAGAACUCCGAUUGCGAAGGCAGCUUACUGGGAUGCAACUGACGCUGAGGCACGAAAGCGUGGGUAUCAAACAGGAUUAGA
rnacentral:rRNA from 1 species